GGUCGGGCUGGCGGAUCCUCGUCUGCUUUAGGAAGAGACAGACAGCGAGGGAGAGAAUGGCUCUGCAAGCCCGCGCCUCAAACCUUGCUCUUCUUACCAUUUUGGACUAAAUCAAAACCCGUUGCUCACGUUUACGUUGACGAACCGGGCGAUGAACAGGCUAAAUGAAGGGUGAAUGCCAAACUAGAGAGAACAAUACAGUCAAAAUGACAGUGGAUUUUGAAGAGUGUGUCAAAGACUCCCCUCGUUUCAGGGCGACCAUCGAGGAGGUGGAGACUGACGUGGUGGAGAUCGAGGCCAAGCUGGACAAGCUGGUGAAGCUGUGCAGUGGGAUGAUCGAUGCUGGGAGGUCGUACAACACCGCCAACAAAUACUUUGUCAAUGGCAUCCGAGACCUGUCGCAACAGUGCAGGAAAGACGAAAUGGUAUCGGAGUGCCUCCAGAAGUUUGGAGAGAGCUUGCAGGAAAUGAUUAACUACCACAUGAUUCUCUGCGACCAAGCCCAGCGGUCUGUCAGGAUGCAGCUGCACAACUUUGUGAAAGAGGAUGUUCGGAAGUUCAAGGAGACCAAGAAGCAUUUUGAUAAAGUGCGUGAGGACAUGGACCUGGCGUUGAUCAAGAACGCCCAGGCCACCCGCAACAAGGCUCACGAGGUGGAGGAGGCGACAGGAACGCUCAUCAUGACCCGCAAAUGCUUCAGGCACCUGGCCCUCGACUACGUCCUCCAGAUUAAUGUCCUUCAAGCAAAGAAGAAAUUUGAAAUAUUAGAUGCGAUGCUGUCGUUCAUGCACGCCCAGUACACCUUCUUCCAGCAAGGCUACGACCUGCUUAAAGAGUUGGAUCCUUACAUGAAAAAGCUGGCCACAGAGCUGGAUCAACUUGUGAUCGACUCGGCUGUGGAGAAAAGGGAAAUGGAGCAUAAGCACGCACUGAUCCAACAGCGGACGCUGUUACAGGACUUCUCCUAUGAUGAUUCCAAAGUUGAAUUCAACAUUGAUGCCCCCAACGGCGUGGUGAUGGAAGGUUACUUGUUCAAGAGAGCCAGCAAUGCAUUCAAGAGCUGGAACAGGAGAUGGUUUUCUAUACAAAACAGUCAGCUGGUGUAUCAGAAGAAGAUGAAGGACGCACUAACGGUCGUGGUGGACGAUUUGCGGCUUUGUUCCGUCAAGCCCUGCGAGGACAUCGAAAGGCGAUUCUGCUUCGAGGUUGUUUCUCCCAAUAAGAGCUGCAUGUUGCAGGCAGACUCGGAGAAGUUGCGACUGGGCUGGAUCCAGGCAGUGCAGGCCAGCAUUGCCACGGCCUACAGGGAAAGUCCGGACAACAACUACAUCAAUAGACUGGACCGCACAGCGUCGCCAUCCACCAGCAGCAUCGACUCUGCCAGCGAGGCGCGGGACCGUAACGUGAAGGGCGAGAGCAUCCUGCAGCGGGUGCAGGGCAUCGCGGGUAACGAGCAUUGCUGCGACUGCUGCCAGGCCGACCCGCGCUGGGCCAGCAUUAACCUCGGCAUCACCCUCUGCAUCGAGUGCUCCGGGAUCCACCGGAGUCUUGGCGUUCAGUGUUCCAAGGUGCGAUCUCUCACGCUGGACUCCUGGGAGCCUGAGCUGCUGAAGCUGAUGUGCGAGCUCGGAAACAACACUAUGAAUCAUAUUUACGAGGGCAGGUGUGAGGAGCACGGACUGAAGAAGCCACAGCCCAACAGCACGAGGCAGCAGAAGGAAGCUUGGAUCAAAGCCAAAUACGUGGAGAAGAAGUUCCUGAAGAAGCUGCCGACGGCCGAGGCGCUGACAGACGCCGAGCGCAAACCGCGGCGAUGGAGCGUCAAGAAGUGCCGGCGGCACAACAGCUCCACCAAAGCCCCGGUGGCCCGGCGACGGUAUCGGCACGAUCCCGGCAACGUGUCUCCAGCAACGUUUGCCGCAGCCGCCGCACUGGAGAGAAAGUUCCGCAGAGAUUCGCUGUUCUGCCCCGACGAGAUGGACUCGCUGUUUUCCUACUUCGACACGACGGCAGGACCUCGCAGCCCCGCGGGUCUGAGCAGCGACAGUGGGCUGGGCGGCAGCACUGACGGCAGCACCGACAUCCUGGUGUUCGGCACGGUGGUGGACCGCGUCACAGAGGAAGUGGGCGAGGUGUCGGAGGAGUCGAGCGGCGAGGUGGAGAUAGAGCCGGAAGCUUCGGACUCGGAGGACGUGCGCGAGCUGCACCCCGGGAUGCUGGUGUACAAGGCAGCUCAGGCCCGCAACCUGGCCGUCAUGGCCCAGGCCCUGGCCCACGGGGCCAACGUCAACUGGGUCAACGGCGAGGACGAGAACAAGACGCCGCUGAUCCAGGCUGUCAUCGGGGGAUCGCUCGUCACCUGUGAGUUUCUGCUGCAGAACGGGGCCGAUGUGAAUCAGAAGGACAUCCGAGAACGUGGCCCAAUUCACCACGCUACCUACCUGGGCCACACUGGCCAGGUGUGCCUCUUCCUCAAGCGGGGCGCCAACCAGAACGCGGUGGACGAUGACGGGCAGGAUCCGCUCAGCAUCGCGGUGCAGGCGGCCAACGCUGACAUCGUCACUCUGCUACGACUGGCAAGGAUGAAUGAGGAGAUGCGUGAGACUGAAGGCCCGUUUGGACAGCCAGGUCAAUAUCCCAGCAGCAGUCCCACCGAGCUCCAGUACAGGAAGUGCAUUCAGGAGUUUAUCAGUCUUAAGAUAGAUGAGUGUUAGGAGGGGCCUCCCCCAGCGGGCGAUGUCACUGGGCCUUCCUCGUGGGUGGUGUCUGGGCCAGUGGGCCAUUUGUCCCAUGACUGCGUUCACUGGCGUUGGUGGUGAAAGAGGACUAGGUACAGUGCUCGCCUUUGGUGUUGUGUGAACAGAUAACUAGCCUUCGCCAGUUUCCAGUUUUACUGUGCGAGCUCUGUAAAUUUAGUAACUUAUGAAAGAGUUAGUGACAGGGCAUCCCUUAUCUCUGCUGGUGGGCCACUUCACCUGCACAGACCUGACCACAUCUGAAGAAGGGUUUCGGCCCGAAACGUCACCCAUUUCCUUCGCUCCAUAGAUGCUGCUGCACCCGUUGAGUUUCUCCAGCACUUUUGUCUACCUUUGAUUUUCCAGCAUCUGCAGUUCCUUCUUAAAAACGGAGAAUUCACAGUCUCAAAACAGAAAAAAAUAAUACGGUUAGAAACUAAGAUGGACACACAUAGUUGGAGUAACUCAGCGGGUUAGGCAGUGGGUUUUGCUGCCCGACCCGCUGAGUUAUUCCAGCUCGAUGCGUCUAUCUUCGGUUUAAACUGGAACCAGUUCCUUCCUACAGACAGGUCAGGAAUGGAGAUUUCAAUUUGAAGACACAAGGUACUGCAGAUGCCGGUUUACACAAAAAAAGUGCUGGAGUAACCCACAAAAAAGUAAAGUGCUGGAGUAACUCAGCGGGUCAGGCAGCAUCUCUGGAGGACACAGAUAGGUGACGUUUCAGGUCGGGACCCCAAUGUCUAUCAGAGAUCUGCUGAGUUGUUUUUAUUGUAAACAAGCAUCUGACAUUCCUUGCGCCUCCAAAAGAAAGGCAGAAUCAACAGGCUUACUUGUUUCAAAAGGAAGGCUGGGUUCACAAGUCACCAAAUGUAAAGUAAAAAAACCUUCUCCGCUUUCACCAGCAACAUCACGUGAUGCCAGUGUGCAAGCCUGAUACAUGCGGCACUGCUGGGUUGAGAUGAGAAACAUGCACUCGGACUUGGCUGCAUUGGUGCUGCAGAAUCCGUUACCUUGGUCACGGGGGUAAAAUGCAUUCUGGCACAUUAGGAAGAUUUAUUAGUACAAGUGAGCUCAGUGAAACAUCCUGCACUGGGCUCACUUUAAUAACAUCAACAGUUUAUGAAUAGCCAUUUUUAACUGCCCGUUGAAUAACUUGAAAUAGGAACUAAAUAUGACUUUAUAUGAUAUUCAGCUUUUCUAUGACGCAUCUGUGGAAAUGCAGAGCGAGGAGGUGUGGAGCCAUAUGAACCUAGCUCAUUCAAACAUUUCUUUACUGAGAGGCUGCAUCCAGGAACCAGGGGCUGAGUCUUCGAGAUCCAGCUCGAGGGUUUUCUGUAACUCAGUUCCCUGGUGACACUGUGCGAAUGGUGAUUUAUCAAUGACAGACCAGCUCACCUUGUCAAAGAAUAGGACUGAUUCUGGCUUGGUGCCUGUACAGUAGGUGUUGUGUGUGUGUAGAUGAUGUGUUCAUGCUUGAUUUCCUUUAAUUGGCUGGUUACAAGUCUUUCUCAAAUCAUCAAAAAAAAAUCACACUUUUUUUGGGGGGGGGGAGGGUUGGGGGCAAGUUCUGUAAAUAUUUAAAAAAGGAGUUUUUGUUCUGGUUGGGACAGUUUAUUUAAAAUGAAAUAAGAGUAUGAAUUAGAUUAUAUGUAUAAAGCAACUUGGUGCACUUUUCCUACCUUACAGUAUUGUUUUCUGUUACACUUUGUGAAUUCUCUCAACAGUGGAAGUGUUGUUUUAAGUGUUUAUUUAUAUGAAUUGCCCGGAGGAAUUGUGCAAUGAAAAAAGAAACCAAUGCAGGUAAACUGUGUUUAUUGUUGGAGAUGUGUUUUUUUCUUUUGUAACACCAUAGAGUGUAUUUUUUUAAAUUGACACAUUUUGUUUUGUAUUGGCCCAGUAGACAUAAUGUCUGAGCUUUUAGUCAGCGUGUUUUUAUUCCGUUGUUUGGCAUAGAGCACACGGCAAGUUCUUAAUAGAUCAGUUUUAUUACAUUUUUUUUUAAAGCUGCUUGAUUUUUCCGCUAAGCCUCAGAUUACAGGAGAGCCAGGUACAAUUUUAAAAAGCAAAAAUAAAUAAAUCUUCAAUUGAGAUUCUGUCUUGUACUUUACAUGGAACAGUUUUUAAACUGGUUUGUCAUAUCUCAAAACCAACUCAUUGUCUCGUAGUCUAAUGCGAGAGGCAAGGUGCAAGGCUGGUAAAUAAAGUGUGCCUUUGGGCAAAAAAAGGGAACUAUAAAACACUAAUGUUUAAACGUGUCUGAAGAAGGGUCUCGACCCGAAACGUCACCCAUUCCUUCUCUCCAGAAAUGCUGCCUGUCCCGCUGAGUUACUCCAGCAUUUUGUGUAUACUAAUGUGUAAACGCCCCAUCCCUUUCCAGCACUCAGUGGGUUUGCCAUUCUGUGUCUAGUGUCAGGGUGAGAAUAGAACAGAGCAGGAACAGGUUCCUCGGGCUAUGCAGAAUAUCAUCCCAUGCAAGACCAAUCUCCUCUGCCUCCAUGUCAUAUUGCUUAAUUCCUGGCAUAUCCAUGUCCCAACCAAAAGCCACUAUCAUAACUACCUCCACCACCAGUCCUGGUAGUGUGUUCUAGGCACCCAACACCCUCAAGAGAAACUUGCCCUGAACAUUCUUUAAACUUAGUCCCCUUCACCCCAAUGCCAUGCCCUC